UAUACUUUAACUUGUGAAAUCCUUUUUACAGUAAUGUUUUAGAAGCAAAACACAAUUUGGGUUUGAUUUGAUAUUGGGUUUAACUCCUAGUGAUUUGAGAAAAACCCCGUAGCGUUAUGAGAACAAGGUACUGCUUUCGCAACAAUUCUAGGACAGGAUAUUUACAUACUGUAUUUUAGCACCCGACGGGUGCUUAUUUAAGGAGGGUGUUACUGAAUAGAGGCUGCUGGAUUUAUCCUUCUCAAAGACAUGAUUUUAGCAACCAUAAUAUUAGUUUGAUGUUGAAAUUUUUGCUCACAAGAAAAGAAACGCAAUUCAUGAUAAAUUAAAAUGUUUGUGUUAGUAAAUUGUAUAAGCGUCAAUAUGUAUUGAAAUCUAUUUAAAAUUAGUUAUUCUAGGGCACUUAAAAACGCACAAGUUGUUACAGGUCC
rnacentral:lncRNA from 1 species